AUUGAACGCUGGCGGCAGGCCUAACACAUGCAAGUCGAACGGGAACAGGAGGCAGCUUGCUGCCUUGCUGCCGAGUGGCGGACGUGUGAGUAAUGUCUGGGAAACAGCCUUAUGAAUGGGGUUAACUACUGAAAACGGUACCUAAUACCGCAUAACGAUGCAAGACCAAAGAGGGGGACCUGAGGGCCGCUUUCCAUCGGAUUAUCCCAGAUGGGAUUAGCUAGUAGGUGGGGGGACGGCUCACCUAGGCGACGAUCCCUAGCUGGUCUGAGAGGAUGACCAGCCACCCUGGAACUGAGACUCGGUCCAGACUCCUACGGGAGGCAGCAGUGGGGAAUAUUGCACAAUGGGCGAAAGCCUGAUGGAGCAAUGCCGCGUGUAUGAUGAAGGCCUUCGGGUCGUAAAGUACUGUCAGCGGGGAAGAAGGAAAUUAAGUUAAUCCCUGUACUCCUUGACGUUACCCGCAGAAGAAGCACCGGCUAACUCCGUG
rnacentral:rRNA from 1 species